rnacentral:tRNA from 1 species
AGGCUAUUAGCUCAGCGGUUAGAGCAUACCCCUGAUAAGGGUAUGGUCCCAGGUUCGAUUCUUGGAUAGCCUA